rnacentral:rRNA from 1 species
AUUGAACGCUGGCGGAAUGCUUUACACAUGCAAGUCGAGCGGCAGCGCGGGGGCAACCCUGGCGGCGAGCGGCGAACGGGUGAGUAAUGCAUCGGAACAUGUCCGGUUGUGGGGGAUAACCUGGCGAAAGCCAGGCUAACACCGCAUGAGCUCGAGAGAGGAAAGCGGGGGACCGUAAGGCCUCGCGCGACCGGGUUGGCCGAUGUCCGAUUAGCUAGUUGGUGGGGUAAAGGCUACCAAGGCGACGACGGGUAGCCGGCCUGAGAGGGCGACCGGCCACACUGGGACUGAGACACGGCCCAGACUCCUACGGGAGGCAGCAGUGGGGAAUCUUGCGCAAUGGGCGAAAGCCUGACGCAGCGACGCCGCGUGAGGGAUGACGGCCU